rnacentral:misc_RNA from 1 species
AAAGUCGUAACAAGGUUUCCGUAGGUGAACCUGCGGAAGGAUCAUUACCGAGUAACUGGGUUGGCGCUCGCGCCUCCCGUUCUCCCACCCUGUGUUUACUUACUCUUGUUGCUUCGGCGGGCCUGCGGGUGCCGCCCGCGGCUGGCCUUAGCUAGCUAGCGCCCGCCGGAGGACCCACCAAACUCUAUUUUAACGUGUCGUCUGAGCAAAACUUUAAUGAGUUAAAACUUUCAACAACGGAUCUCUUGGUUCUG